AUGUUCUCCUCGCAGUCCUUGAGCCGCCUCAACAACAUCCGCACUGCCUUGAUCAAUGCGCAGAAGGGCACCCAGUCCGUCGCCACCUACUUCGCCUCCAUGUGGGGCCUCGCUGACGAGCUCGCUGUGGCCGGGAAGCCCAUACAAGACGACGAGAUGAUCUCCUACUUGCUGCAUGGGUUGGACAUGGACUACUAGUCCCUCAUCUCCACCCUCAACGCCCGCGUCACGCCGGUCUCCCUCGACGAGCUCUACGCCAUGCUGAGCAAUUUUGAUCAGCGUGUCGCUCAGUUCCACAUCACCGGCGGU
rnacentral:rRNA from 1 species